UAACCUGGUUGAUCCUGCCAGUAGCAUAUGCUUGUCUCAAAGAUUAAGCCAUGCAAGUCUAAGUACACACGGCCCGUACAGUGAAACUGCGAAUGGCUCAUUAAAUCAGUUAUGGUUCCUUUGAUCGCUCCCAUCCGUUACUUGGAUAACUGUGGCAAUUCUAGAGCUAAUACAUGCCAACGAGCGCUGACCCCUCCGCGGGGAUGCGUGCAUUUAUCAGACCCAAAACCCAUGCGGGGGUGGCCCCUCGCGGGGCCCAUCCCCGGCCGCUUUGGUGACUCUAGAUAACCUCGAGCCGAUCGCUGGCCCCUGGUGGCGGCGACGUCUCAUUCGAAUGUCUGCCCUAUCAACUUUCGAUGGUACGCUCUGUGCCUACCAUGGUGACCACGGGUAACGGGGAAUCAGGGUUCGAUUCCGGAGAGGGAGCCUGAGAAACGGCUACCACAUCCAAGGAAGGCAGCAGGCGCGCAAAUUACCCACUCCCGACGCGGGGAGGUAGUGACGAAAAAUAACAAUACAGGACUCUUUCGAGGCCCUGUAAUUGGAAUGAGUACACUUA
rnacentral:rRNA from 1 species